UUCCGGUUGAUCCUGCCGGACCCCACUGCUAUCGGGAUAGGACUAAGACAUGCUAGUCGCGUGCUUCAGCCAAAACGAGGCACGGCAAACAGCUCAGUAACACGUGGCUAAUCUGCCCUUAGGACGCGAACAACCCCGGGAAACUGGGGCUAAUUCUCGAUAGGUGAAGAACUCUGGAAUGAGUCUUUGCCUAAAAGAGCUUACGUUAUGCUCGUAAGUUUCGCCUAAGGAUGAGGCCGCGACCGAUCAGGUUGUUGGUGAGGUAAUGGCUCACCAAGCCUUUUACCGGUGCGGGCCGUGAGAGCGGGAGCCCGGAGAUGGGCACUGAGACAAGGGCCCAGGCCCUACGGGGCGCAGCAGUCGCGAAAACUUUGCAAUACACGAAAGUGUGACAGGGCUAUCCCGAGUGCCAUCCGCUGAGGAAGGCUUUUACCCAGUCUAGAACGCUGGGGGAAUAAGGAGAGGGCAAGUCUGGUGUCAGCCGCCGCGGUAAUACCAGCUCUCCGAGUGGUGUGGAUGUUUAUUGGGCCUAAAGCAUCCGUAGCUGGCUAGGUAAGUCCCCUGUUAAAUCCACCGAAUUAAUCGUUGGAUCGCGGGGGAUACUGCUUGGCUAGGGGACGGGAGAGGCAGACGGUAUUUUUGGGGUAGGGGUGAAAUCCUAUAAUCCCAGGAAGACCACCAGUGGCGAAGGCUGUCUGCUAGAACGCGCCCGACGGUGAGGGAUGAAAGCUGGGGGAGCGAACCGGAUUAGAUACCCGGGUAGUCCCAGCUGUAAACGAUGCAGACUAGGUGUUUGAACGGCCACGUGCCGUUCUAGUGCCGCAGGGAAGCUGUUAAGUCUGCCGCCUGGGGAGUACGAUCGCAAGAUUGAAACUUAAAGGAAUUGGCGGGGGAGCACCACAAGGGGUGAAGCUUGCGGUUUAAUUGGAUUCAACGCCGGG
rnacentral:rRNA from 1 species